CAGCAGCCGCGGUAAUACGGAGGGUGCAAGCGUUAUCCGGAUUUAUUGGGUUUAAAGGGUCCGUAGGCGGGUUCGUAAGUCAGUGGUGAAAUCCUACAGCUUAACUGUAGAACUGCCAUUGAUACUGCGAGUCUUGAGUGUAGUUGAGGUAGCUGGAAUGAGUAGUGUAGCGGUGAAAUGCAUAGAUAUUACUCAGAACACCAAUUGCGAAGGCAGGUUACCAAGUUACAACUGGCGCUGAUGGACGAAAGCGUGGGGAGCGAACAGG
rnacentral:rRNA from 1 species